AGCUAUGACAAGGGCUAUAGCUCAGUUAGGUAGAGCAACUCGUUUACACACCGAGAAGGUCUACGGUUCAAGUCCGUAUAGCCCUA
rnacentral:tRNA from 1 species